rnacentral:rRNA from 1 species
CAAUAGCGUAUAUUUAAGUUGUUGCAGUUAAAAAGCUCGUAGUUGGAUUUCGGAUGGGAUUUGCCGGUCCGUCGUUACGAUGUGCACUGGCCAGUCCUAUCUUGUUGUCGGGGACUAGCUCCUUGGAUUCACUUCCUGGGACUAGGAGCUGACGAGGUUACUUUGAGUAAAUUAGAGUGUUCAAAGCAAGCCUACGCUCUGAAUAUAUUAGCAUGGAAUAACACGAUAGGACUCUGGCUUAUCUUGUUGGUCUGUGAGACCAGAGUAAUGAUUAAGAGGGACAGUCGGGGACAUUCGUAUUUCAUUGUCAGAGGUGAAAUUCUUGGAUUUGUUAAAGACGAACUACUGCGAAAGCAUUUGCCAAGGAUGUUUUCAUUGA